GACCAGCACACCUCCAACAGGUAAACAACUUAUUUUACUUUGCUGUGCUGUGUAAUAGAAAAACAUUCACAGUGUGCCAGCUCAUCUCAAGUCAUGGCUUGGCAUGACUACUCCAAAAACAACGGAAAAAUGCCGUUAUGUUAGCGAAGCAGAGCAGUGAACUUGUGCAGAUAUAAAGACUGUCACAAGCUGAUGUCGGCUCGGGCUGAAAGUAGAAAAAAACAUUGGAAAUUGAGCCUUCAGAGCAGUCUGAAGCCAGUGAUUUUUAACCCUUUGAAAAUGGACGUCCUGCAGGCGGGUCUAAACUGGCUGUGGGGGGGGUCGUCGUUUACAUAGUCCAAUUCAAAUAGAUCUAAAAUAAAAAUCAUAACAGCUAGAGCUUUCACUCUUUUUGCAGCUGAAAGCUAAGGCUCUCAUCUUUCACGCAAUCACGUACGCUUGUGUCGAAAGAUGAUGACGCCAUUAUGUUACGUUAUGUGUGGGUAAUAAAACUGGGUAAAAUGUAGUGGCAACGUGGAGUGGAGCAGAGCGGAGAAGCAGGUCGAAGUCAGAGAUAUUCAGUGAAAGUUGAGAGAUUCAGAUAUUGAGAGAGUAAGUGUAUUCUUGGAGCAUAUACGUGUCUUUUUUGUCGUGAUGACAAAGAAAAGAUAGUAAGCCGAGGAGGCUUUGGAGGUUUUGUUCUCGAGUGGUGACCACAAACAAGAGACGCUUUCUUCUGAUCCAGACUCCUUCAGUGAGGAUGAAGACCAUUUUGGCAUUGAUCCAUAUCAGGAUAUCCCCACUGGAAAUGAAGGAGCAACAGAGGACCACUCAGACACAGCAUCCCAACACACAUUUUGUAUUUUGUUUAAUUUAUGACACAAUUUCAGUACUUAUAUCUAUCAUUAUGGUUUAUUGGCUUACAUAACCUUUUGGCUUAGGUUGAAACUAUCAAAAUGCCUUUGCACUCUGCUCAUAAAAAUGAGCUUAUCUCAGAAACUAAAAACCGUACAUAGUUCAGAUAACUUGUGGAAUGUUAAGAAAUAUUUUGUUCAUGUUUCUACAUCCAGAAAUGUUUUGGAUCAAUGUGUUUUGUUCGUUUAUCCAGUAAAAUUUGAUGAAAAACA